UACGGGGGGGCAAGCGUUGUUCGGAAUUACUGGGCGUAAAGGGCUUGUAGGUGGCCAACUAAGUCAGACGUGAAAUCCCUCGGCUUAACCGGGGAACUGCGUCUGAUACUGGAUGGCUAGAGUGUGGGAGAGGGAUGCGGAAUUCCAGGUGUAGCGGUGAAAUGCGUAGAUAUCUGGAGGAACACCGGUGGCGAAGGCGGCAUCCUGGACCACGACUGACACUGAAA
rnacentral:rRNA from 1 species